rnacentral:tRNA from 1 species
GUUCCUGUAGUUAAAAAAUAACGAUGGGUUUUCAAGCCAUUAGUCUCGGUUAGAUUCCGAGCAGGAAUU